AGAAAAAAAAACUGUGACACAAUCCACACACGAGUUGCAUAGCUAAAGAAGCACGCUUGGACAGAGUACUUUACAAAAGAAGAAUUAUUCAUUAUACAACAAAUGAAAGUCAUCUGCUCCAAUUAUUUAUGAGAUAAUGCGAUCCACGACACAGGGAUGUCUUACACAUGAGAACUACAAGUCACACAAGAAAACAAAUAUGACUUGAGCCUCACAGCGCUUUAAGAAGACGGGAAGAGCUUUUAACAAAUGAUAGAGCGCCAGAGCUUAUAACAAAUGAGGGAGUGCCAGUCCAGGGAAUAGGGGGGCACAGACGAUUGGUGUGCUGCUGCAAUAUAGUGAGGUCUGACCUUUAAUCAUUCCCAUGACUUAAAACUAGAUGAAAACUGAAGGCUAUUAAACAUCAC